UAUCUUUAAGUCUUUGAGUUAGCUUCGCCAUUUCAGCCUAUUCCAUCAACUUUUCUUGCCAGUGUUCUUUCUCUGGUAUUUCAUCCCCUUUCCAUCUUUGAGCUAGUAAAAUUCCGGCCGCUGUUGUCACAUACAUGAAUGGAUUUUCCUUAUCUUUUGGUAAAUCCUGCCCUAAAAUACCUAAUAAAAAUGCUUCUGAUCUUUUAACAAAGGUUAUCUUAAAACAUUUUUUUAUUUCAUUAUAGAUCAUCUCCCAAUAGGUGGAGCCAGGUGGGCCCAGGUCCAGGUGAGGGGGGUUGCCAUGGUGACAAGGACCACAGGCUUGCAGGCUGCCAUUUUGGGUUAGUAGUGAGGCGAGUGGAGGAGAGAGCAGUUGGUGCCAGUUGACGGAGGACAAGGCAAGGCAAUCAGUGCAUUCUUAUUUUCUGAGUUUCUUAUUUUGCUUCUUAUUUCAUUCAUUACUUGUUUUUCUCUUCCUGAAGAUGUGCCACAGGCUUUCGUCAUCCAGCAAUGCAAUAUGAGACCCCAAUUUCAGCUGCGAUAUGGGAAGUGUGAUCCUGCACAGGACCAUGGAGGCAGUUCUUGGGGGCGCAGAAAAGGAUGGCGACAGAGAGGCACUUCAAGCACUUGCUGUGGGGUCUCCUUCUGGAAGCCCCCAAUGCUGCCACCCUCCUCCAGCUGCUCAGCGUCAGUGUCCUGAUGGCAUCAGGAAUGGUUUUAGCCCCCCCCCCUUACUCAACGGACUUUGCCAUUUCUGGGACACGGAGUCCCCUGUCCCGUUUGGCUCCCGUUUUUGAAGUCAUGUUGGAAAUGCACUAAACAAAAAAAAUUCCUUCCAGUAGCACCUUAAAGACCAACUAAGUUAGUUCUUGGUAUGAGCUUUCGUGUGCAUGCACACUUCUUCAGAU